rnacentral:rRNA from 1 species
CCUACGGGUGGCUGCAGUGGGGAAUAUUGCACAAUGGGGGAAACCCUGAUGCAGCGACGCCGCGUGAAGGAAGAAGUAUUUCGGUAUUGAAACUUCUAUCAGCAGGGGAGAAAAUGACGGUACCUGACUACGAAGCCCCAGCUAACUACGGGCCAGCAGCCGCGGUAAUACGUAGGGGGCAAGCGUUAUCCGGAUUUACUGGGUGUAAAGGGAGCGUAGGCGGCGAUGCAAGUCAGAAGUGAAGGCCCGGGGCUCAACUCCGGGACUGCCUGUGAAACUGUGUUGCUUGAUUGCAGGAGAGGUAAGUGGAAUUCCUAGUGCAGCGGUGAAAUGCGUAGAUAUUAGGAGGAACACCAGUGGCGAAGGCGGCUUACUGGACUGUAAAUGACGCUGAGGCUCGAAAGCGUGGGGAGCAAACAGGAUUAGAUACCCCAGUAGUC